UCCCAGGCUGUACCUCGUGCUGGGAGCCGCCACCUUGAGAGUCCGGUCGGGUCCGUACGGCGGAAGAAUUCGAUUUAUUCCUAACUUUGGACUGUGCCACGGCGACAGGGAGGGCAGGAGGCAGACGACGGAAGGGAGGAUAAUACAGACCAGUGAGGUGUAUUAUCUUAACCAGAGAGGAUAAUACAGACCUCUCUGAGGUGCAGAGAGAUUUUACAGGAGGAUUGGGGAAGAAGUUUUGAGUGCUCCGACCUCUAUUAAAAGAUUGUAUUUGGUGAAGGAGGAGGAAUUGGGGAUGUUAAAAUACUCUCACGGACGACACUGAACGUGCUUGUAAAUGGUACAGCCGCACCCCCGGAGGCUGUACUUGCUGAGAGGGGUGAACCGUGGACUGGUACAGUCCCCUCCGCAGAGAUGCCCGGCGGAAAGGAGGAGCCGAAGUAGUGGAGGGGGUGGCUGGGGCAGGGGCGGAGGACGGGAAUCAGUCGCAGAAACGAACUUUAAAAACGGUUGUAAGGAAUCCUCUAGGGGACAGUACUCCUGGAGGAGGGAGGAAGAAAGGAAAACAGAGACAGGGAAGAGACUGAGGCCCCGAGCGAUGGCACGGAGAAGCCGGAGGAAAUCGGGGCCGCGAUCGAGGGGCAAAGGGGAGGCCCGUGUGGGCGGCGAUGGCAGCCUGGAAGGCAGCAGACGGGGCGCAGCGGAACCGAAGAGGGGCACUGAAGGUCACAACGCGGGAGACUCCGAGGCAGAGGGAGAUGGAGACAGGCAAAGCGGAGACUGAAAAAUAAGGGGGAAAAAUGGAGAGGUAGCGAGCGAGGAGGCUAGAUUUCAGGAAAACAUUACGGGAAAAAAUAACGAACCUACCGUAACGGUGCCAGAGUUGGAUUUACCAGAGUGGCCCCAGCGCUGGAGUUUCUAACACUAUACUACACUGCCCAUGUUGUCUCCAUCCUCUUGAAAGCUGGAAUAAGAGGAAGAACAUCCCCUCAGUUCAGCCUCACACGGAAAUGUGUACAUGAGGCAACUCAAAUGUUUCAUUGUUCUGUGCAUUUCUGCUAUGACUACAAAAGUACCACAUUGGUCUGGAGGUUACAGGUCAAUUUUAGAAAUUAGGUAAAUUUGAAGAUAUGGCAAAAUGAAGAUCAACUGUAUAUAUAUUUACCUGAAAAAUAAAAAGCAAAUAAUGGAAGAAUAAAUGAUCAAAAUAGUAUCUGUAAAGAAUGCUGUUACUUAUCUACUAAUAUGUGAACUUACCUCAAAACCUAGUGGCUUAAAACAACUCAUAUUUUUUGUCUCUGUGUGUCGGGAAUCUGGACAUGGAUUACCUGGGUCCUCUGCUUUGGGGUCUCCCAUAAAUAUAUCAUCAAGGUAUUGGCCUAGGCUGGGGUCUCAUCUGAAGGAUCAAAUGAGGAAAGAUCCACUUCCAAGCUCAAUGACAUGAUUGUUGGCAGAAUGCACUGUCUCAAGAAUUGUUGAAUGAAGGGCAUUCACAUCCUUGCUGGCUGUUGGAUGGAAGCUACACACAGUACUUUGCCAUGCGCGACUCUCUAACCUGUGACUUAUAUAUCUAAUGAGGCAGGAGAAAGAGUCUGUAAGCAAGAUGGAAGUCACAGUCUUUUAAAACCUAAUCACAGAAGUAACACUCACCUUAUGUUGCCAUAUUCUGUUGGUUCAAUGUUACUUAUUCAUAUGGAAGGUAUUGCAAAGGCUAUGAAUAUCAGGAGGUGGGAAUCAUUGCCCAUAAAAGAUACUGCCUACCACAGGAAAGAAGAAAAUAAGAUAGAGGGGACAGAGAUAGUACAUAGUAUUCUUUGAAUGUACAUGUUCUGUUGAUUUCACUUUAGAACCUCAAAAAAUUACAA